rnacentral:rRNA from 1 species
GACGAACGCUGGCGGCGUGCUUAACACAUGCAAGUCGAACGGUAAGGCUCCAGCUUGCUGGGGUACACGAGUGGCGAACGGGUGAGUAACACGUGGGUGACCUGCCCUGCACUUCGGGAUAAGCCUGGGAAACUGGGUCUAAUACCGGAUAGGACCGCACCGUGAGGGUGUGGUGGAAAGUUUUUUCGGUGUGGGAUGGGCCCGCGGCCUAUCAGCUUGUUGGUGGGGUAAUGGCCUACCAAGGCGGCGACGGGUAGCCGGCCUGAGAGGGUGGACGGCCACAUUGGGACUGAGACACGGCCCAGACUCCUACGGGAGGCAGCAGUGGGGAAUAUUGCACAAUGGGCGGAAGCCUGAUGCAGCGACGCCGCGUGGGGGAUGACGGCCUUCGGGUUGUAAACUCCUUUCACCAUCGACGAAGGGUUUCUGACGGUAGAUGGAGAAGAAGCACCGGCUAACUACGUGCCAGCAGCCGCGGUAAUACGUAGGGUGCGAGCGUUGUCCGGAAUUACUGGGCGUAAAGAGCUCGUAGGUGGUUUGUCGCGUCGUCUGUGAAAUUCCGGGGCUUAACUCCGGGCGUGCAGGCGAUACGGGCAUAACUUGAGUACUGUAGGGGAGACUGGAAUUCCUGGUGUAGCGGUGAAAUGCGCAGAUAUCAGGAGGAACACCGGUGGCGAAGGCGGGUCUCUGGGCAGUAACUGACGCUGAGGAGCGAAAGCAUGGGGAGCGAACAGGAUUAGAUACCCUGGUAGUCCAUGCCGUAAACGGUGGGCGCUAGGUGUGGGUUUCCUUCCACGGGAUCCGUGCCGUAGCUAACGCAUUAAGCGCCCCGCCUGGGGAGUACGGCCGCAAGGCUAAAACUCAAAGGAAUUGACGGGGGCCCGCACAAGCGGCGGAGCAUGUGGAUUAAUUCGAUGCAACGCGAAGAACCUUACCUGGGCUUGACAUAUACAGGAUCGCGCCAGAGAUGGUGUUUCCCUUGUGGCUUGUAUACAGGUGGUGCAUGGUUGUCGUCAGCUCGCGUCGUGAGAUGUUGGGUUAAGUCCCGCAACGAGCGCAACCCUUGUCUUAUGUUGCCAGCACGUUGUGGUGGGGACUCGUAAGAAACUGCCGGGGUUAACUCGGAGGAAGGUGGGGAUGACGUCAAAUCAUCAUGCCCCUUAUGUCCAGGGCUUCACACAUGCUACAAUGGUCGGUACAGUGGGUUGCCAGUCCGUGAGGGCGAGCUAAUCCCGCAAAGCCGGUCUCAGUUCGGAUCGGGGUCUGCAACUCGACCCCGUGAAGUCGGAGUCGCUAGUAAUCGCAGAUCAGCAACGCUGCGGUGAAUACGUUCCCGGGCCU